GAUCCUGGCUCAGGAUGAACGCUGGCGGCGUGCCUAACACAUGCAAGUCGAACGAAGCACUUUGAUUUGAUUCUUCGGAUGAAGAUCAUUGUGACUGAGUGGCGGACGGGUGAGUAACGCGUGGGUAACCUGCCUCAUACAGGGGAAUAACAGUUAGAAAUGACUGCUAAUACCGCAUAAGACCACGGAGUCGCAUGACUCAGUGGGAAAAACUCAGGU
rnacentral:rRNA from 1 species